GAAGUGUGUUGAGUUUCUUAGGGCCCUCUCUUUGUCCUGUCUAUCUACUCUCUAGGUGAGGACUGUGUAAGACUAGGUGAGGACUGUGUGUAGGACUAGGUGAAGACUCUGUGUAGGACUAGGUGAGGACUCUGUGUAGGACUAGGUGAGGACUCUGUGUAGGACUAGGUGAGGACUCUGUGUAGGACUAGGUGAGGACUCUGUGUAAGACUAGGUGAGGACUCUGUGUAGGACUAGGUGAGGUGAGGACUCUGUGUAGGACUAGGUGAGGUGAGGACUCUGUGUAGGACUAGGUGAGGUGAGGACUCUGUGUAGGACUAGGUGAGGUGAGGACUAUGUGGACUAGGUGAGGACUCUGUGUAGGACUAGGUGAGGUGAGGACUCUGUGUAGGACUAGGUGAGGACUAUAUGGACUAGGUGAGGUGAGGACUCUGUGUAGGACUAGGUGAGGUGAGGACUAUGUGGACUAGGUGAGGACUCUGUGUAGGACUAGGUGAGGUGUGGACUAGGUGAGGACUUUGUGUAGGACUAGGUGAGGUGAGGACUAUGUGUAGGACUAGGUGAGGUGAGGACUAUGUGUAGGACUAGGUGAGGUGAGGACUAUGUGUAGGACUAGGUGAGGUGAGGACUCUGUAGGACUAGGUGAGGUGUGGACUAGGUGAGGACUUUGUGUAGGACUAGGUGAGGUGAGGACUAUGUGUAGGACUAGGUGAGGUGAGGACUAUGUGUAGGACUAGGUGAGGUGAGGACUAUGUGUAGGACUAGGUGAGGUGAGGACUCUGUGUAGGACUAGGUGAGGUGUGGACUAGGUGAGGACUUUGUGUAGGACUAGGUGAGGUGAGGACUAUGUGGACUAGGUGAGGACUAUGUGUAGGACUAGUUGAGGUGAGGACUAUGUGUAGGACUAGGUGAGGUGAGGACUCUGUGUAGGACUAGGUGAGGUGAGGACUCUGUGUAGGACUAGGUGAGGUGAGGACUAUGUGGACUAGGUGAGGACUCUGUGUAGGACUAGGUGAGGUGAGGACUCUGUGUAGGACUAGGUGAGGACUAUGUGGACUAGGUGAGGACUAUGUGGACUAGGUGUGGUGAGGACUAUGUGGACUAGGUGAGGACUAUGUGGACUAGGUGAGGUGAGGACUCUGUGUAGGACUAGGUGAGGUGAGGACUCUGUGUAGGACUAGGUGAGGUGAGGACUCUGUGUAGGACUAGGUGAGGUGAGGACUAGGUGAGGACUCUGUGUAGGACUAGGUGAGGUGAGGACUCUGUGUAGGACUAGGUGAGGUGAGGACUAGGUGAGGACUCUGUGUAGGACUAGGUGAGGUGAGGACUCUGUGUAGGACUAUGUGGACUAGGUGAGGACUAUGUGGACUAGGUGAGGACUAUGUGUACUAGGUGAGGACUAUGUGGACUAGGUGAGGACUAUGUGGACUAGGUGAGGACUAUGUGGACUAGGUGAGGUGAGGACUGUGUAGGACUAGGUGAGGACUAUGUGGAUUAGGUGAGGUGAGGACUCUGUGGACUAGGUGAGGACUCUGUGGACUAGGUGAGGUGAGGACUAUGUGGACUAGGUGAGGACUUUGUCUUUACAGAUAGCUCAGUGAAAAAGCCUGUCCCCUGUGUUUUACAAAGUAGCACUCACCAAGUUCAAUAGGCAAAAUUACACUCAGUCAAGUUGCCCCCAGAAUACGUUCCCCUGUGGACUAGCUUUAGUUAUCCUCUCAACGUAGAAUUGUAUGAUCUGCAUGGUUUCUGCACCAUGAGGUCCCGUCUGUGAGGGCCUAACAAAGUGUGAUAAGUCACUGGAAAUUACCUAAGUUGUGUCCACUAGUUUUGGAGCCCAUGGCCUUGACAACACAAGUGCAGAAUAACCCAGGGGCUUGUUCAGCUGUCCAGAGGAGAUUAGUGUCCCUGCUUCUAUUCUGAGCAGCACUGUCUUGUCUUGAAUGACAGAGCACAGUGGUCCUUAGGGCUCGCGUGGCCAGCCGCAUCUCCGUACAGCAGGAGCCUGACCCACCCUCCACCCUUUGUUCCUCACUGAAGGACAUGAUCUUUUAAAAGACUCCUUCAGAGUGGCUGUUGUUUUGUGUAGAGAUAGUUGGUGUGUAGAACUAGUAGCAGUUGGUGUGUAGAGCUAGUAGCAGUUGGUGUGUAGAACUAGUAGCAGUUGGUGUGUAGAACUAGUGGCAGUUGGUGUGUAGAACUAGUGGCAGUUGGUGUGUAGAACUAGUGGCAGUUGGUGUGUAGAACUAGUGGCAGUUGGUGUGUAGAACUAGUGGCAGUUGGUGUGUGUGUGGAACUGGUGUGUGUGUGUGUGUGUGUGUGUGUGUGUGUGUAGAACUAGUGGCAGUUGGUGUGUAGAACUAGUGGUAGUUGGUGUGUGUGUGUAGAACUAACUAGUGGUAGGUAACUGGUCAGAAAAGGGUGAGCUGGAAAUGAACUGUUGAGGCCAAUUAUUCAUUUUAGCACCUAGUGAAGUAUCACGUCAGUCAGUGGCAGGCGGGCCCCAUUGGCUGGAGGAGAAGCUAGGCUGGGUGCUGCAGGUGGGCCCCACUCUCCUAUACUGGACACAUCAUUAACACACUGUUCUUAAGACCAUAUACAAUUCCUGUAUGUCAUCUUAUACAAUACAAUUAUUGUAUAGGUGUUAUCAGACAAGUCACUAUUAGAACAAAUUGGUAACACUUGAUCAACUUUCAUAAAUAAGCAUUAAUAAACAAAUGUUUUUUCAUUAUAAACAUUUAUAAACAUUUAUAAUGUAAUACAAGUUAUUAUAAACUGUUUCCUAAAGAAUCCACUGCUUCUGCAUACUCUAGACUAGAUAAAUUGCUAUUGGCUGGAGGAGCAGCUAGGCUGGGUGCUGGAGGAGCAGCAGCUAGGCUGGGUGCUGGAGGAGCAGCUAGGCUGGGUGCUGGAGGAGCAGCUAGGCUGGGUGCUGGAGGAGCAGCUAGGCUGGGUGCUGGAGGAGCAGCUAGGCUGGGUGCUGGAGGAGCAGCUAGGCUGGGUGCUGGAGGAAUGCAGGCGGGCCCUAUGCUAGCGUGUGUUGAUUACUCCAGAGUCAGCAUUCUUAUGUUUAAACCGAGCCGGGCAGGCGGACACGCCCGUGCCCGUAUAUGGCAUGGGUUACUUUCUUAGGGCGUAUCGAUUGUCAGUCGCUGGUCCUAAAUGCCAAACGCCAGCAGGCCUUGUAGGGGGGAGUGAGGGAGGGGGGCAGCUGCUGCAGUUCAGAAAUCACAUAAGGCCAGUAAUCUGUUGGAUCACUUUCAAUUGAGAUUCACAGUGGAGUCCAUAGAAAUAGGGACCCGCCUGCCAUGCUACCUCACCUCUACAGUUGAUCAUUAUUCAGGGAACAAUGAGGGAGGAAUCGAGCGGUCGCCAUCUUGGAAUCUGCAGCACGGCAACAUGAGACAUGUCGUUUCUCACCAUUCUCCAGUGCUGCAUUUAGAAUGAACUUUCACGAGAACAGUGUCAUUGAUUGCGUGUAGUUUUACUAGAAGUAUUGAACAAAUACCUGGUCUGUUUUGUCAUUGGUUCACAAAACAAAAUGACUAAUAACGACGAAGCUCCUUUUCGUCCCUUUCAAUAACUAAAAUAUUACAACUUUGAUUUAUUGAAACAUUUUGAGUGUGAAGAGUUGUCAGGUUACUUACUGUAUGUUUGUGUACUUUCCGCUUGUCUUCAUCCAACUCAUCGUAACUCUUCUGCUCUUCCCUCCGCC